rnacentral:rRNA from 1 species
ACGCAAUACCGCGAGGUGGAGCAAAUCUAUAAAAUAUGUCCCAGUUCGGAUUGUUCUCUGCAACUCGAGAGCAUGAAGCCGGAAUCGCUAGUAAUCGUAGAUCAGCCAUGCUACGGUGAAUACGUUCCCGGGUCUUGUACUCACCGCCCGUCACACCAUGGGAGUUGAUUUCACUCGAAGCCGGAAUACUAAACUAGUUACCGUCCACAGUGGAAUCAGCGACUGGGGUGAAGUCGUAACAAGGUAACCGUAGGAGAACCUGCGGUUGGAUCACCUCCUUUCUAG